AUUGAACGCUGGCGGCAGGCCUAACACAUGCAAGUCGAGCGAGCGGCGGACGGGUGAGUAAUGUCUGUGAAACUGCCCGAUGGAGGGGGAUAACUACUGGAAACGGUAGCUCAUACCGCCUACUAGCAGAUGUGCCCAUAUGGGAGUAGCUAGUAGGUGGGGUAAUGGCUCACCUAGGCGACGAUCCCUAGCUGGUCUGAGAGGAUGAUCAGCAACACUGGAACUGAGACACGGUCCAGACUCCUACGGGAGGCAGCAGUGGGGAAUAUUGCACAAUGGGCGCAAGCCUGAUACAGCCAGGCCGCGUGUGUGAAGAAGGCCUUCGGGUUGUAAAGCACUUUCAGCGGGGAGGCGUUACUCGCAGAAGAAGCACCGGCUAACUCCGUGCCAGCAGCCGCGGUAAUAC
rnacentral:rRNA from 1 species